UUUGAUGGCGACCGGCGCACGGGUGAGUAACACGUAUCCAACCUGCCGAUGACUCGGGGAUAGCCUUUCGAAAGAAAGAUUAAUACCCGAUGGCAUAGUUCUUCCGCAUGGUAGAACUAUUAAAGAAUUUCGGUCAUCGAUGGGGAUACGUUCCAUUAGGUUGUUGGCGGGGUAACGGCCCACCAAGCCUUCGAUGGAUAGGGGUUCUGAGAGGAAGGUCCCCCACAUUGGAACUGAGACACGGUCCAA
rnacentral:rRNA from 1 species